GUUUCUGUCUGCCGUGAUGGGAACAUUUUCUGACAAGAUGCAAAUGAAGCUGCCUCAAGUGCUCCAGAAUUAUUAUUCAUCCACAAAUAACCUCAUCUUAAGCCAUUACUUUCUAAAAUUUUUUUACUCGUUCUUUUGAAAAUGAUGCAGUGGUUUGAGACAUAGUAACUGAAGAUAUGGACACUAAAUCCCUCCAUAUUUCUAUACAGUGAAAAAUCAAUAAUGGUAAUUGGAAUCUCUGUCUCCCUCAGCCCUGAUUUAUCCUUCCUCUUUGUGGUUUAUACUUUCCAUGUAUGAACCAUAAAACUGUAAUGGAGAAACAUUUUUGCCUAUGAGGAGCAAAGAGAGCUGCUUUGCUGAAUGACUGUGAGUAAAUGAGGAUUCUUUGAAGAAGUGCAGGGCUUCUGUUCCUCCGUGUUGUGGGCAGCACACGCCUGCCCUAUUCGUCUUCGUCAUGGCUGCACCUGUGCUACAGAAUGCUCAUAGACUAGUGCUGCCCAUGCAGGGAGCCCAGAGGCUGCACUUUCUCAGUUUACCUCAUGGCUUCAGAGUGACAUGAGGCAUUGAAAUAAGUGAGCAUUGAAUCUGAGGGCUCAGGAGCCACCUUCUACCUUUGCUCCUUUGGUGACAUGCUAGAUGCCCUCUGGUAAGUCAGUUAAAUUCUUUGGGCCUCCUCUGAAAAUUGGAUCCAAUGAGGCCAACACUUCCUGUUUCACAGGGUUACAUGGGGCUCACAUGCAAUUCAAGAACAAACUUUGUAAUACGAG
rnacentral:lncRNA from 1 species